UUACGGGAGGCAGCAGUGGGGAAUCUUCCGCAAUGGGGGAAACCCUGACGGAGCGACGCCGCGUGGACGAUGAAGGCCGUAAGGUUGUAAAGUCCUUUUGCAGGCGAAGAAUAAUGAGGGGAGUGGAAAGCCCUUCAGAUGACGUUAGCCUGCGAAUAAGCCCCGGCCAAUUACGUGCCAGCAGCCGCGGUAAUACGUAUGGGGCAAGCGUUGUUCGGAGUUAUUGGGCGUAGGGGGCGUGUAGGCGGCGCGCUUUGUCUGGUGUGAAAACGCAGGGCUUAACCCUGCGGUUGCGCUGGAAACGGGCGUGCUAGAGUUCCGAGGGGGAAGCUGGAAUUCCAGGUGUAGGGGUGAAAUCUGUAGAGAUCUGGAAGAACACCGGUGGCGAAGGCGAGCUUCUAUUCGAGGACUGACGCUGAGGCGCGAAAGCGUGGGGAGCAAACAGGAUUAGAUACCCUUGUAGUCC
rnacentral:rRNA from 1 species